UGUUGCAAACAUAGAAAUGGCAUGAACUACCCGCCAGAAAACCCAUACAGACAAAUUGCCUAUAAUAGAACAGACACGAAAGUUCCAUAAUCCAUAUGUCAAAUGAAACAGACACAAGAGGCUUUCCUUCAAUCAUAGCUAUUUCAUGCCAUCAAAAUGCUAGACGUGGUUCACAACCUUCUGAAUCU